GCUUCCGUGGCGCAGUCGGCAGCGCGCCAGUCUCAUAAUCUGGAGGUCGUGUGUUCGAGCCUCACCGGGGGCA
rfam:Dictyocaulus viviparus strain HannoverDv2000 D_viviparus-1.0_Cont51.14, whole genome shotgun sequence.